CUUUAUGAAGCGAUAGAUAAAUGAAUGGAGGAGUGGAGUCAAGAGGAUCAGGUGAAUCCGAUGUGUUUGACCUUAUGAAAUCUGCUAAUCACCCUUAUGAGCUGGCUCUGCUCCUAACCCUAGAGAGGCCCCGGCACAACCUAAAACGGGACAUUUUUUCCUAUGUGGACAUACGUAAGUGGUCGGUAGGAUUGUGAGAAAGGGUGGGGCGCUUUUGUCAAAUUCAGACCUUCUUUGUGACUUCUGGCAUCGAAUAAAGCCGAGCCAAUUCCCCGAGAAACUUGAAAGCAACGACCUCUCUGACCCCACUUGGGGCCUUCUGUUGUGGUUACAAAGUUUAGUAGACGUACUCCUUUACUUUUUCUCCACCCCACCCCCGACUUAAAACGUAAAAAAGGAACUGCGUCCAUAGCAAGAAUGUUUGACCUGUGAGCAAGGAUGCCCACCCCUCGUCCUGCUCAGCCAAGCUUCCGGCCGUUGUGCCCUCCGUGCACCCUACCGAAGUCCUGACUGAGCCGUCGAAGGGCGGUCUGAAAUCUGCCCCCCAUUCAGAGGGAGCUGCUUAUACCUCCUUGCCUUGAUGUAGAGGCAGAGCUCUCCUGGGGCGCAUGGGAGUUGAUCAGAAGUCGGGGUGGGGUCUGAGCCCUGGUUUUCGGACUCUGCAAAGAGGUAUUCCGGACUUCUUUCUGUAAAGGAAAAUGGGGUCUUGAGGAACCAAUCAGGGGCUCGCAGUGGCAAAGCUAGGCUAGGACUUGGAGGCUUCUGGCAGGCGAGGCGGGUGGAGGAGGAAGGAGGCUGACGGAUCCACUGGGGGGAAGAAAAGCCGAACUGGAUUCACCGUGUCCUGGAUGGAAAAGGAGGAGGAGGAGGAGGAGGAGGAGGAGGAGGAGGAGGAGGAGGAGGAGGAGGACGAGGAGGAGGACGAGGAGGAGGAGGAGGACGAGGACGAGGACGAGGACAAGGACGAGGACGAGGACAGAGAGAGGGGAAACGCGGAGCUCCUUCAACUCGCGUUGUCCGGUGAGAAGUAAGCAAGCAGGAACUGACAGGAGGCUCCGGGAGCCCUCGCCUCCUUUCGCUUUUUUACCUGCCAAUCAAACCGCUAGAAGACAACACCCUGAUCUGGCAUGGACAUACUACAGGACCUACAAGAUCCAGGGAUGA
rnacentral:lncRNA from 1 species